rnacentral:rRNA from 1 species
CGACUCUCGGCAACGGAUAUCUCGGCUCUCGCAUCGAUGAAGAACGUAGCGAAAUGCGAUACCUGGUGUGAAUUGCAGAAUCCCGCGAACCAUCGAGUCUUUGAACGCAAGUUGCGCCCGAGGCCACCCGGCCGAGGGCACGCCUGCCUGGGCGUCACGC